rnacentral:rRNA from 1 species
UACCAGCAUCCCGAGUGGUCGGGACGAUUAUUGGGCCUAAAGCAUCCGUAGCCGGUCAUGCAAGUCUUCCGUUAAAUCCAGCCGCUCAACGGUUGGGCUGCGGAGGAUACUACGUGGCUAGGAGGCGGGAGAGGCAAGCGGUACUCAGUGGGUAGGGGUAAAAUCCCUUGAUCCAUUGAAGACCACCAGUGGCGAAGGCGGCUUGCCAGAACGCGCUCGACGGUGAGGGAUGAAAGCUGGGGGAGCAAACCGG